rnacentral:rRNA from 1 species
UACGUAGGGGGCAAGCGUUGUCCGGAAUUAUUGGGCGUAAAGCGCGCGCAGGCGGUCUCUUAAGUCUGAUGUGAAAGCCCACGGCUCAACCGUGGAGGGUCAUUGGAAACUGGGAGACUUGAGUGUAGGAGAGGAAAGCGGAAUUCCACGUGUAGCGGUGAAAUGCGUAGAGAUGUGGAGGAACACCAGUGGCGAAGGCGGCUUUCUGGCCUAUAACUGACGCUGAGGCGCGAAAGCGUGGGGAGCAAACAGGAUUAGAAACCCGAGUAGU